CCCUGUACAACCUGCUUCCUGCUGUCCUCUGAGGCUUCCUCUGUUACUUCCCCAGUGAUUCUCCCUUCUAGCCAUGCCAAGCUUUUGGUGGAGCCUCAAAAUUGUGGGCAUAUUUGCUCUGCCUGGAAUACCCUUCCCUCCUUUUCAUACUUGGCUUAUGCCAAUUUAAACCUUUUAAAGACCUUCCCUCUUCCUCUCCUUUCUCAUUAUGUGACCUUCGUCAAGUUCCUAAAGCUUUCUGAGCCUCAUCUGUAAGACAGAGAUAAUAGAUCCUACCUACCUCAUGGGGUCAUUGUGGAGACAAAAUGAGUUGUGUUCAAGAGAGGGCCUGGCCUUUAGCAUCACCAGCCUGGCAUUGACCAGUGUGGUGACAGCUACCUGUCUUCUUGGAGUUUCUGCAGACCCAGGACUGUCCCUGAUUUGACCUCCUGCCCCUGCUCCCCAGCACAUCAGAGGCAGACAUGUAAGGUUUGCUCAGUGAGGAGAGGAAGUCAGAGUGAUCCGUCUUAGUAAGCAGGUCCUUGAAAGCCUCCUCUAUAUCAGUAUUCCCAAAGGAGCCGGGAUUACUCUGCAGAGUCAGGCAAAUGGCUGGCUGACCAUAGAUUUCAGACUGACAUACCUCUAGAAUUUAGGGCUUGUGUGAGACCUAAGGUGGUAUGUAAAAAGGACUGACAGUCACUCGGGACCAAGCAGUGACCUAGGGACUGAGCAUGCAAGAAGAACAAGCAUGGUGUGUCUGGGAAGAAAAAACAUGCACACAAGUACUCCGAGUGAAGAGGAAUGUGGUCUUCGUCUCCAUAGGAGAGGCUUGGGGCCAGAAGGUCCGGGAGGAGUGGCCUCGGAGCUGGGCCUUGAAAGAAAGGUGGGCCCUGGGAAUUGUAGAAGACAUCCAUCCAGACCACAGCAAGAGCAAGUCACAGAGAUGAGAAAGCAGAGAGCUACAUGGGCCAUGUGUUCGGAGAACUGUAAGAACAGUAGGCUGUAGCCGGCAUCCCAAGGGCGAUGGGAUCAGGCUUGCAGGCAGCUCAUUGGCUCCAAAGGGAGGCAGGCUUUUCCCACACAUUCUCAGUGCAUUCAGUCCACUCCCUGAGGUACCCUUACCUCCCCCAAGGGGCCUGGGCCACAUCCAAAUACCUCUUUGAGCUUGGCACGUCCAGCCCACCUGGAUGCUGCUACAGCAGCACAAUCAAGGCUUUACUUCAUCUUCCUGCCCCUCCAUUCCAACCACCUGUCCAACCGUAACACACUGGCCUCACACUGGCCUCUCCCAGGGGAGCUCUGACAACCCUAUCAACUCCUACCUAUGGCUGCACCACUUGAGAAGACGAUGCUCCUUCUAACUUUUCUUCCAUUUCUGGUUCCCUCAAAGCUCCUCAUCAGGAGGCCAGAUGACAUGGGAAGAGGCAAGCCCCAGGCCUGUCCCUUGGCUGCACAGCACAGGCACCCAAGAGCCUCACACUUCAUCUCCCAUACCUGUUUAGAUUCAUUAUGGCCCAUCCCAAAGUUAGGAUGGCAACCAACUCCUCUAUACAGAUGACACUGAAGCCCUGAGAGGAGACAAGCCUUGUCCAAAGUCACCUAGCUAGUAAGUGGCUGAGCUAGGACUCAACCCAGGGCCUCUGACCCACAUUAGCACAUUUCCCACCAGAACUGAGCUGUUUUCAAACAGUCCAGGGCUUAUUACUGCUGCUUAGUAAGCAAUAAAAUAAUCUCUGGUUUUGACUUAAAAUAA